AAUUUCCACGUGUAGCGGUGAAAUGCGUAGAGAUGUGGAGGAACACCAGUGGCGAAGGGGACUCUCUGGUCUGUAACUGACGCUGAGGAGCGAAAGCGUGGGGAGCGAACAGGAUUAGAUACCCUGGUAGUCCACGCCGUAAACGAUGAGUGCUAAGUGUUAGGGGGUUUCCGCCCCUUAGUGCUGCAGCUAACGCAUUAAGCACUCCGCCUGGGGAGUACGGUCGCAAGACUGAAACUCAAAGGAAUUGACGGGGGCCCGCACAAGCGGUGGAGCAUGUGGUUUAAUUUGAAGCAACGCGAAGAACCUUACCAGGUCUUGACAUCCUCUGACAAUCCUAGAGAUAGGACGUCCCCUUCGGGGGCAGAGUGACAGGUGGUGCAUGGUUGUCGUCAGCUCGUGUCGUGAGAUGUUGGGUUAAGUCCCGCAACGAGCGCAACCCUUGAUCUUAGUUGCCAGCAUUCAGUUGGGCACUCUAAGGUGACUGCCGGUGACAAACCGGAGGAAGGUGGGGAUGACGUCAAAUCAUCAUGCCCCUUAUGACCUGGGCUACACACGUGCUACAAUGGACAGAACAAAGGGCAGCGAAACCGCGAGGUUAAGCCAAUCCCACAAAUCUGUUCUCAGUUCGGAUCGCAGUCUGCAA
rnacentral:rRNA from 1 species